GGCGGGCGGCGGGCGCCGGGCUGUGGGGCUGCUCCCCGCUCGGUCCGCGGCCCCCCGGACUGCCACAGUCACACUGCCUACUCUGUGCCACCCACGGUGCCAGGCGUGGGGACACGGCGUGGACGAGACCAGAAAGGUCCUGGCCCCGGGGAACUGAUAGUGUCCAGGAGCGGAGUGCUGGGAAGGGAACGUCGUGAUGGCAUCUCCGCUCUCACCUGAUUUCAGUCUUCGCUGGAAAGUCCCCUGCGUUCGCCCUAGAACACAACACUCAACUUGGCCCCCUCCAUCAGAUGGGUCCCAGCAAGGUACCACGGAGCCUGUCAGCAGGCUGGCCUGGCACUGUCCCCACCCUGUCCCUAGCACCUCUCACCAAAGGCUGCCGCCGGUGCAAAGCAAGGCUAUAAAAAAGAUUUGUGUGAUGGUGGCAGGACUGUGUGUCUCUAGGAUACAGGAGGGGCAGGUUGGCCAGGGAUGUUGGGUUCUUCAUGAAUGAGAAGAUGCACAACCUUGGCGGGAAGCCUGCAGUAAGGGCCUGGGACAAACUGAGGAAUCCACACAUGACCUUGACCUGAAAAACAUGCAGACUUGGCUAACCCGACUUCAUCCUGUUUUCCCCAGUACCACUUAGUGAACCACCCUUUCACUUUCUUUUCUUUAAUUAGCAUUUUCCCUCAAGUUAAAAAAGUAAUACAUCUUCGGUUGAGAAAUACAUAAAAAUCCAAAAGGAAAAAUGAACCAUGUAAUAAACCAUGCAG